ACAUGUUUUUUGGGGACAAAUUCC
rnacentral:siRNA from 1 species